CCAAUAUGCAAUUUAAAUGUAAUCGUGUUGAUCUCUGGAGAGUUCUUUUUGUGAGAAAAGGAUGUUGAGCUUCUCUACUCCCCAACUGGAUUAAGAUUUCCUUUAAGAUGACAUAAUUCCAGACAAAGAAAAACUAUAGAAGCGGAAAAGAGAUAAACGUUUCCCUUCACAAAUACACGCGGUUAAUGGAAAAUGUGUUGAUUUAAAUCAGUGCCAGGAGAAGACGCACGUAGGGGCAGCUGCUGCUUCCUGAUUACCCUGGAAAAUCAGAGAGAGAGAGAGGGAGUGAAAACCAUGAGUGGGCACCAAGCAGAAACCUUCCCCCCGAGGCACAAGGACAACUGCUCCCCGGAUGCUUCGUGGGUUUCAGCAAGGCUGCCAAGAGCCUGAGAUGGAUACAUCCCACUCAAUCUUCACCGGACCCUAUAAGGAAACACCUAGAGCUGCCAAGAACUGCCUCUUGAAGGGAGCCUCCCUAAAGCAGAAGCCAACACAGAGGAAAAUGGAGCCCAGAAGUGGAGAAACAGAUCAACUGAGUCCUGCUGACAUCAUUUGAAGUCUUGGAUCCAGCUUUUCCCUGCAGGCUGCUCAAGGAAUACAUCCUUGUGCACAGAAAGACGCUACUUCUUUCUGGCUGACAAGAAACCCCAGAAACUUUGGGACCUUGAGAACGCUCCAAAGAGAAAAUCACCGGGACAGAUUCCACUUCUGCCCAAAGGUCUCUGCAUUGUACACACACGUGCUUCAAACUCAGCAGACGUGGGCUUGUGCGAAGACCUAUGAUGGCUUCAGACUUCUGUGUUCCAUCUGAAAGGCAUCCUCUUCUCCAAACCAGAACUCAGAAAACAAACUGCGUGACACUCAGACCUAGUGGGCACCAGGCAAGGAGACCUUAAGCAGGGUGACUGCUCCCCAGGAGACAUUAGGCAAUGACCAGAGACACUUUUGUUUGUCACAACUGAGUAGGAAGGGAUACCACCAGCAUCUAGUGGGUGGAGGCCAGAGCUGCAGCUAGACAUCCUACAGUGUACAGGACAGCGCCCCCUCCACAACCAAGGAUUAUCUGGCCCAAAGGUUAAUAGUGCCAAGGUCUAGACUCUCUGCUUUGCAUGCACUGCAUCUCUGAUCCCGCUUUAUUUUGUUGUGAAGG